GUGGGGAAUAUUGGGCAAUGGGCGAAAGCCUGACCCAGCAACGCCGCGUGAAGGAAGAAGGUUUUCGGAUCGUAAACUUCUAUCCUUGGUGAAGAUAAUGACGGUAGCCAAGAAGGAAGCCCCGGCUAACUACGUGCCAGCAGCCGCGGUAAUACGUAGGGGGCAAGCGUUGUCCGGAAUGAUUGGGCGUAAAGGGCGCGUAGGCGGCCCGGUAAGUCUGAAGUGAAAGUCCUGCUUUUAAGGUGGGAAUUGCUUUGGAUACUGUCGGGCUUGAGUGCAGGAGAGGUAAGCGGAAUUCCCGGUGUAGCGGUGAAAUGCGUAGAGAUCGGGAGGAACACCAGUGGCGAAGGCGGCUUACUGGACUGUAACUGACGCUGAGGCGCGAAAGUGUGGGGAGCAAACAGGAUUAGAUACCCUUGUAGUCC
rnacentral:rRNA from 1 species